UUUAACGGCCGCGGUAUUUUGACCGUGCAAAGGUAGCAUAAUCAUUAGUCUUUUAAUAGGGGGCUGGAAUGAAAGGUUUGACGAGGUUCUGACUGUCUCAUUUAAUUUGAGAUUAGAAUUUAACUUUUCAGUCAAAAGGCUGAAAUAACAUUGGAAGACGAGAAGACCCUAUAGAGCUUUAUAUUUAUGAUUUUGGUUAGCUUUUGUUUAUUAUUGUUACUUAGGGUUUUAAGUAUUUUGUUGGGGUGACAAAAAUAUAUAAUCAACUUUUUUAUUAAUUUUACAUUGAUUUAUGGGCUUAAGAUCCAAUCUUAUUGAUUAUUAGAUUAAGUUACCUUAGGGAUAACAGCGUAAUCUUCCUCCAGAGUUCAUAUUUACAGGGAGGCUUGCGACCUCGAUGUUGGAUUAAGAAAAUAAUUAGGUGUAGCCGCUUAAUAUAUAGGUCUGUUCGACCUUUAAAUUCUUACAUGAUCUGA
rnacentral:rRNA from 1 species